rnacentral:lncRNA from 1 species
AAAUUACUGGUUCGGUGUGCAACUUGAAUGCUCGAUUGAAAGAGUUCGCGUGGAACAUUAAAAAAAGGGUGUGCAAAUUUAAUUUUAAAAAAAAAAAGCCGCGCUACGGAGAGCAACCAGGAGAGGACAGGCUAAGAAGUCCAGACACGCUUCGGAGUCCUACAUAUUUACCUAUACACAAACGCACAGUUAAAUGUAUAAUUAUGUAUUUUUGAUUAAGUCUUUAUUGAAAUCAUUGGUUUCAUGGUCAAUUAAAUCGUCGGUUUAGUCAUUGCUUAAAUGAUAUAUUAUAAUUAAAUCAUCAAUGAUUUUAUCAUCUUUGAUUAAAUCCUCAAUGGUUGAAUCAUUUUUUGGCUAAAUCGUCUUUGGUUAAAUCAUCAAUGGUUAAAUUAUGUUUGGUUAAAUCAUCACUAGUUAAAUCAUCAUUGGUUAAAUCACAGGUUGAACCAGCUUUGCUUAAAUCAUCUUUGGUUAAAUCAUCCCUUUAAAAAUGAUCUUAUGUUAAAUCAUCAAUGUUUAAAUCACUGCUUAAACCAUCUUUGGUUAAAUCAUCUUUGGUCAAAUCAUACUUUUACAAAUUAUCUUGGGUUAAAUCAUCGCUUAAAUCAUAAUUGGUAAAACACUAUUGAUUAAAUCACUGGUCGUUUCAUCAAUGGUUGAAUCAUAUUUGGUUAGAUCAUCCAUGGUUCAAAUCGUCAAUGGUUAAAUCAUCUUUGGUUGGAUCAGCAAUGGUCAAAUCGUCAAUGGUUAAAUUAUCUUUGGUUAAAUCCUCUUUGGUAAAAUCACUAAUUGUUAAAUCAUCUUUAGCUAAAUCACCAUUGGCUAAAUCAUCCCUGGUUAAAUCAUCAUUGGUUGAAUCAUUAUUGGUUAAGUCAACGCUGGUUAAAUCAUCACUAGUUAGAUCUAAAUCAACAUUGGUUAAAUUAUUAAGGCUUAAAUCAUCAUUGGUUAAAUCACUGGUUAGACCAUCUUUGGUUAAAUCAUCUUUGGUUAAUUCAUAUUUUAAAAAUUAUCUUUGGUUAAAUCAUCGCUUAAAUCACAAUUGGUAAAUCACUAUUGAUUAAAUCACUGGUCGUUUCAUCAAUGGUUAAAUCAUCUUUGGUUAGAUCAUCGAUGGUUCAAAUUGUCAAUGGUUAAAUCAUCAGGGUUAAAUCAUCACUGGUAGAAUCAUGACUAGUUGAAUCAUCUGGGUUAAAUCAUCACUGGUUAAAUCAUCACUGGUUAAAGCAUCGUUAGUUAAAUCAUGGGCUAAGUCGUUAGUGUUUGUCAUAACCAGCGGGUCUUCUCUCGUCUCCCUACAGUCCGGGCUCCGUCAUUACGCCAUUGCUUUCUUCACUGGUUGGAGACAACGAAGAGAUGAUCAAAAUGAUAGCUGAAGUGCAGGGCAAGCUACACGCCCUGCAGAGAAAUGGUGAGCCAAACGAGAUAGCCGAGGGUGUGGCCUUCCUCGCUUCUGACGCUGCCAGUUUCGUGAGCGGCACUGUCCUGUCCGUGGAUGGGGGCAGGCACUGUUUCUCCGGGGGCGUUACUGGUUCCAUGAGUGGAAAAUCUCCCUUCUAAACAUGUGUGUCUGCUUGCUGUGAGGUGAGACCACGGCCUGGUUGCGUCACCAUUUGCUGUCUUGACGGCGGGACCAAGUGUACCGCCCAGCAGGUCACAUGAGAUGAAGAAGCUUACGAAAAGAGUUGUGUUUACUGUUUAAAUUUGUAUGAAUACAUGCAAUAAAGUUGUUUGUGCUACUUUUCAGUUUCAUAA